GGCGGGCGGGGCGGGGGCACGGGGGGAACGCGAAGAACCUUACCUACUCUUGACAUCCAGAGAACUUUCCAGAGAUGGAUUGGUGCCUUCGGGAACUCUGAGACAGGUGCUGCAUGGCUGUCGUCAGCUCGUGUUGUGAAAUGUUGGGUUAAGUCCCGCAACGAGCGCAACCCUUAUCCUUUGUUGCCAGCGGUUCGGCCGGGAACUCAAAGGAGACUGCCAGUGAUAAACUGGAGGAAGGUGGGGAUGACGUCAAGUCAUCAUGGCCCUUACGAGUAGGGCUACACACGUGCUACAAUGGCAUAUACAAAGAGAAGCGACCUCGCGAGAGCAAGCGGACCUCAUAAAGUAUGUCGUAGUCCGGAUUGGAGUCUGCAACUCGACUCCAUGAAGUCGGAAUCGCUAGUAAUCGUAGAUCAGAAUGCUACGGUGAAUACGUUCCCGGGUCUUGUACACACCGA
rnacentral:rRNA from 1 species